rnacentral:lncRNA from 1 species
ACUUAAUGAAGAUGUUGAUAUUCUCACAGGAGCUCAGACCCCAAGGAAGAGAAAAGGAUCUCCUCAAGGAUAUGCAACAGGGGGGGUUGGAGGCACUUAUAAUUUGAAAUGUGACAUGAUUCUGUAUCCUAAUCCUGUAAAGUGGGAGCUAGAAUAAGUACCACCGGGUCCAGGACUCUGUUAAUAGUGAACAUUGAUUAAGCACUCCCUGGGUUUUCAGCAUGGGGCUAAGCCUCUUGCAAGCAUUAUUUCUUUUAGUUGUCACAACAGUUAUUUAUAGGAUAUUGUUAUUUUCCUUUUACAGACAGGGAAACUGAGCUUUAGAGAGGUUUCUUUUUCAAGCCCAAUGUGGCAGACUUUGUGUUAGAGAGAUGGCUGCAGCCAUCCUUCCAUCCUCUGCAAUGGGGCCUUGCCACUCCCCCGUCAAAGGGCAGCGUCUAAUUCCCCUAUGGAGAGCCCCUUAUGGGGUUGUGACUGCUUCUACCAAUAGAGUAUGGCUGAAAUGACUCUGUGUGACUUCCAAGGCUUUGUUAUAAAAUGCCAUGCAUCUUCCACCAGCUUCCAUUGGAACACUUGCUCUGGCUGAAAAAAACCCACCACGUAAGAAUUUUGCCAUCCCAAAGCCUGCCAUGCUGGAGUAUCACCUGAAUGUCGCUGAGCUCCUCGCCGACAGCCAGCAUCAGCUGCCAUCUGUGUAAGCCGGCCAUCUUGGUCUCGUAUCUGGUUCAACCUGGUCGAGCUUUCAAAUGACUGCAGCCGCAGCCAACACCUAACUUCGACCUUAUGAGAGACCCCAAUUAUUCACUAUGGCAGAAGAUAUCCUGCUCAUCUUUCUGUUUCCCACAGCACCUAACCCAGGGUUUUGGAUUGAAGUAUCCAUCAAUAUUUUUGAACUUGAGUGCAUUUGAACUGAAACACAUCACUGCAUAAUUCAAGCAUCUUCUAUUCCUUCCUGGUGGACAGCAGAUUACAGGGAAUCAAGAGAAAAAGAUGGCAUGGCAGAGUGACAUCAACUCUCUCUUCUUGCCUCUGGCUCUUUUCUCCUUGGGCUUUGCCCCUGCAGGGGUAAUACCUAGAUGUUUUUUUCCUGACUACCCUGCUUAGCCUUCAGAGUCAAUAAAACUGAUCCCUAGAUGAUGAACAUCUUUCAUAACAAAUCAGGCACUAGUCUCAGGUUCUAAU